rnacentral:lncRNA from 1 species
CCUACCCAGAUGGUCUCUCUCUCUAACCACUCAGCCCCUACCCAGAUGGUCUCUCUCUCUAACCACUCAGCCCCUACCCAGAUGGUCUCUCUCUAACCACUCAGCCAAUACCCAGAUGGUCUCUCUAACCGCUCAGCCCCUACCCAGAUGGUCUCUCUCUCUCUAACCACUCAGCCCCUACCCAGAUGGUCUCUCUCUCUAACCACUCAGCCCCUACCCAGAUGGUCUCUCUCUCUAACCACUCAGCCCCUACACAGAUGGUCUCUCUAACCACUCAGCCCCUACCCAGAUGGUCUCUCUCUCUAACCACUCAGCCCCUACCCAGAUGGUCUCUCUCUCUAACCACUCAGCCCCUACCCAGAUGGUCUCUCUCUCUAACCACUCAGCCCCUACCCAGAUGGUCUCUCUCUCUAACCACUCAGCCCCUACCCAGAUGGUCUCUCUAACCACUCAGCCCCUACCCAGAUAGUCUCUCUCUCUCUAACCACUCAGCCCCUACCCAGAUGGUCUCUCUCUCUAACCACUCAGCCCCUACCCAGAUGGUCUCUCUCUCUAACCACUCAGCCCCUACCCAGAUGGUCUCUCUCUCUCUAACCACUCAGCCCCUACCCAGAUGGUCUCUCUCUCUAACCACUCAGCCCCUACCCAGAUGGUCUCUCUCUCUAACCACUCAGCCCCUACCCAGAUGGUCUCUCUCUCUCUAACCACUCAGCCCCUACCCAGAUGGUCUCUCUCUCUCUAACCACUCACCCCCUACCCAGAUGGUCUCUCUCUCUAACCACUCAGCCCCUACCCAGAUGGUCUCUCUCUCUAACCACUCAGCCCCUACCCAGAUGGUCUCUCUCUCUCUAACCACUCAGCCCCUACCCAGAUGGUCUCUCUCUCUAACCACUCAGCCCCUACCCAGAUGGUCUCUCUCUCUCUAACCGCUCAGCCCCUACCCAGAUGGUCUCUCUCUCUAACCGCUCAGCCCCUACCCAGAUGGUCUCUCUCUCUAACCACUCAGCCCCUACCCAGAUGGUCUCUCUCUCUAACCACUCAGCCCCUACCCAGAUGGUCUCUCUCUCUAACCACUCAGCCCCUACCCAG